rnacentral:rRNA from 1 species
AUUGAACGCUGGCGGCAUGCUUUACACAUGCAAGUCGAACGGUAACAGGCCGCAAGGUGCUGACGAGUGGCGAACGGGUGCGUAAUGCAUCGGAACGUGCCCAGUCGUGGGGGAUAACUACUCGAAAGAGUAGCUAAUACCGCAUACGAUCUAUGGAUGAAAGCGGGGGACCGCAAGGCCUCGCGCGAUUGGAGCGGCCGAUGUCAGAUUAGGUAGUUGGUGGGGUAAAGGCUCACCAAGCCAACGAUCUGUAGCUGGUCUGAGAGGACGACCAGCCACACUGGAACUGAGACACGGCCCAGACUCCUACGGGAGGCAGCAGUGGGGAAUUUUGGACAAUGGGCGCAAGCCUGAUCCAGCAAUGCCGCGUGCAGGAAGAAGGCCUUCGGGUUGUAAACUGCUUUUGUACGGAACGAAACGGCUCUGGUUAAUACCCGGGGCUAAUGACGGUACCGUAAGAAUAAGCACCGGCUAACUACGUG